rnacentral:rRNA from 1 species
UCCUAACCGUGCAAGCUAGCGCAAUCAAUUGUCCCAUGAAUCGGGACUUGUAUGAAUGGCUAAACGAGGUCUUAACUGUCUCCUGUAAGCAAUCAGUGAAAUUGGUAUUCCCGUGCAAAAACGAGAAUGAGAACAUAAGACGAGAAGACCCUGUGGAACUUUAAAAUCACCGACCACCCUAACACCAACAUCAACCUACACAGGCCCACCACCACAAAACACUUGGUCGGCAUUUUUCGGUUGGGGCGACCUUGGAGAAAAACAAACCCUCCAAACCUUCCAGACCACCACUCUUCACCUAGACCUACCCAUCAAAGUACUAAUAGUAACUUAGACCCAAUAUAAUUGAUCAAUGGACCAAGCUACCCCAGGGAUAACAGCGCAAUCUCCUCCAAGAGCCCAUAUCGACAAGGAGGUUUACGACCUCGAUGUUGGAUCAGGACAACCUAAUGGUGCAGCCGCUAUUAAGGGUUCGUUUGUUCACGAUUAAUAGUCCUACGUGAUCUGAGUUCAGACCGGAGUAAUCCAGGUCGGUUUCUAUCUAUGASCCACUCCUCCUAAUACGAAAGGACGGAAAAGUGGGGUCAAUACCAAAAGCACACCCCCCCUCUAAGCAAUGA